rnacentral:lncRNA from 1 species
GUUAAGAAACCACAUCAUAGUCAAGUUGAUUCUGGGAAAGAUUUAAUCAAGAAUUCGAAGUAGAACAAAUUCAAAAUUCUUGUCUAAGAACUUGGCUGAGAAGUUGAAAAGCAGCCAGGUUAAUGUCACAAAACAACUUUAAUAUAGAAAAAUUGUAUAGCUAGAGAGUAAACAUUUUAGAGUCUUCCACAAAGUCUUAAAUUGUGGAAAUUUUUGACAUUGCAAAAUGACCCUGUACCAGAAUCCUGUUUGGCCUCAAUCAGAGUCCUUUCUCCCCAUAAGCCCUCUGCAUACCUCGAUGUAUGAACGGUGGUCUGUGUGUCACUCCUGGCUUCUGCAUCUGCCCGCCUGGAUUCUACGGUGUCAACUGUGACAAAGCAAACUGCUCGGCCACCUGCUUUAAU